rnacentral:rRNA from 1 species
GUGGGGAAUCUUGCGCAAUGGGCGAAAGCCUGACGCAGCCAUGCCGCGUGAAUGAUGAAGGUCUUAGGAUUGUAAAAUUCUUUCACCGGGGACGAUAAUGACGGUACCCGGAGAAGAAGCUCCGGCUAACUUCGUGCCAGCAGCCGCGGUAAUACGAAGGGGGCUAGCGUUGCUCGGAAUUACUGGGCGUAAAGGGCGCGUAGGCGGACAGCUUAUACAGAGGAGAAAGCCCAGGGCUCAACCUUGGAAUUGCCUUUGAUACUGGCUGUCUUGUGUUUGGGAGAGGUGAGUGGAACUCCGAGUGUAGAGGUGAAAUUCGUAGAUAUUCGGAAGAACACCAGUGGCGAAGGCGACUCACUGGCCCAAUACUGACGCUGAGGCGCGAAAGCGUGGGGAGCAAACAGGAUUAGAAACCCGAGUAGUCC